AUCAUACUCCCUCCGUCCGAAAAUACUUGUCGGAGGAAUGGAUGUAUCUAGACGUAAUUUAAUUCUAGAUACAUUCGUUUUUAUGCAUUUCUUCGACAAGUAUUUCCGGACGGAGGGAGUAUUUU
rfam:Triticum aestivum genome assembly, contig: Triticum_aestivum_CS42_TGACv1_scaffold_224573_3B